GGCGGACGGGUGAGUAACGCGUGGGUAAUCUACCCUUGGAUUUGGGAUAACUCUGCGAAAGUGGAGCUAAUACCGGAUAGUCUGGCUUUAAAUAAGAAGUCGGUAAAGGAUGCCUCUGCAUAUGCAUUCGUCCGAGGAUGAGCCCGCGUCUCAUUAGCUAGUUGGUAGGGUAAUGGCCUACCAAGGCAACGAUGAGUAGCUGGUCUGAGAGGAUGAUCAGCCACACUGGAACUGAAACACGGUCCAGACUCCUACGGGAGGCAGCAGUGGGGAAUAUUAGAAAUGGACGAAAGUCUGAUCUAGCAACACCGCGUGUGCGAAGAAGGCCUUCGGGUCGUAAAGCACUUUU
rnacentral:rRNA from 1 species